GCCUAAGGGCUGAGAUGGGUUGGAUCAGGCUAGUCCGAUUGAGCCAAGAAAAACUAAAAGAAAAAUUUUUUAAAAAAAUCUAUAUUUAUUUUUUUUACUAUUCGGCUAUUCGCCACCGUCACCGCCGCUGGACCAUCGUUGGUUCCUCUCUGCUCCCUUUGGGUCUCGAAUCUCGAUCAGUCAAUCUCCAUCUCAUGCCCCCCAUCCAACUAUUAGCCUCCGGGCUCUUAGAUCCCCCCUUCUCCUCCUCAUCACCGACACUGCCACCUCUGAGUCCAGUCAUAAGAAUCAAAAUUCUUUCCAUCGAUGGAUGCCCCAUCCAACCUCUCUAGACUCUCAGAAGUCAGAUCCCCCUCCUUCUUCUCCUGCUCGUCACCAAUGCUGCCACCUCCGAGUCAGAUCUAGCCAUGGUGAUGCCCUCACACUGCGUCUGAUCUGAUCUCUACCUAGUGCGGCUACUGCGGUAGUGCCUCCCCUCCUGGCUCCUCUCCUUCCUCCUCCUCAUCACUAGCACCACUGUCUCCAAGUCCGAUCGCAAUGUAUGCCGUAUGCCCCCUCCUCCCUUCCGCUCCAAGCUCUUCGAUCCGACCGUGGCAUCGACGAUCGCUCCAAUUUUUUUUAAAUAUUUUGAUGGGCUGGCCCGGCCCAACCUAUGUCCUUUAAAGGGCUCGACUGGGCCAGCUAUAUGCUGUCCCAUUUUUUGGCUAGGCA
rnacentral:lncRNA from 1 species